rnacentral:rRNA from 1 species
GGCACAGACCAGGGGGUAGCGACUGUUUACCAAAAACACAGGAGCGUGCGAAGGCGCAAGCCGCUGUAUACGCUCUGACGCCUGCCCGGUGCCGGAAGGUUAAGAGGAUCCGUCAGGCCUCGGCCGAAGCGGUGAAUUCAAGCCCCGGUAAACGGCGGUGGUAACUAUAACCAUCCUAAGGUAGCGAAAUUCCUUGUCGGGUAAGUUCCGACCUGCACGAAUGGCGUAACGACUUCCCCACUGUCUCGACCAGGAGCUCGGCGAAAUUGCAGUACGAGUAAAGAUGCUCGUUAAGCGCAGAAGGACGAAAAGACCCCGGGACCUUUACUAUACCUUGGUAUUGGCAUUCGGUGUGGAUUGUGUAGCAUAGGCGGAAGGCUUCGAAGCCACGGCGCCAGCCGCGGUGGAGCCGCAAGGUGAAAUACCGCUCUGUUCGCAUUGGAUGUCUAACCUCGACCAGUCAUCCUGGUCAGGGACAGUGCCUGGCGGGUAGUUUAACUGGGGCGGUUGCCUCCCAAAGAGUAACGGAGGCGCUCAAAGGUUCCCUCAGCCCGGUUGGCAAUCGGGUGGCGAGUGUAAGUGCACAAGGGAGCUUGACUGCGAGACUGACGGGUCGAGCAGGGACGAAAGUCGGAACUAGUGAUCCGGUGCCGGUGUACGGACGCGGCAUCGCUCAACGGAUAAAAGGUACCCCGGGGAUAACAGGCUGAUCAUUCCCAAGAGUCCAUAUCGACGGGAUGGUUUGGCACCUCGAUGUCGGCUCGUCGCAUCCUGGGGCUGGAGCAGGUCCCAAGGGUUCGGCUGUUCGCCGAUUAAAGCGGCACGCGAGCUGGGUUCAGAACGUCGUGAGACAGUUUGGUCUCUAUCCUCUGCGCUCGUCGGAAUGUUGAGGAGGCCUGCCCAUAGUACGAGAGGACCUGGGUGGACGAACCUCUGGUAUGCCGGUUGUCACGCCAGUGGCACGGCCGGUUGGCUACGUUCGGAAGGGAUAACCGCUGAAAGCAUCUAAGCGGGAAGCCUGCUCCAAGAUAAGCAUUCCAUAGGACUACGGGUCCUUGAAGUCCCCAUGCAGAACACGUGGUUGAUAGGCCGGACGUGGAAGCCCCGCGAGGGGUGGAGCCGACCGGUACUAACGGACGAAAGGCAACACAA